UUGAAUACAUUCCUCAUUCUCUGUUUGCGUGCUUCUGUGAGCUUGCCCUAUUUUGGAGAAUUGGUUAUGCCUCACAGGCGAUCAGAGCAGUCAGGUGCGGGACCGCAGGCAAAGAAGACAUUCUUUGAUAAUACGGUGGGAAGCUACUUAGAUGGCUUUAUAAGCAGAAAGAAUCAGAGAAUCAACAUGCCAGAGUGGCACUAUAUGGCGAUAUACUCUCUGAUAUGACAGUACAAGGAGGGGAAAACAUUUUAACAAGUCAAGAAGAUAAAAUUAGAUCCACAAAGAGUAUGGUCAGCACUGAAGGCUUCUCACUUGUUUCACUGAGGCACUGAAAAUGUAUGAAGCAGAUGAAAAUAGUGCUAAGUCGGGGAGAGGUGUGCCUCAUGGAGUUCAAUUUUGUGUGCUGAUCAAUUCAUCGGUGCUGGGUUUCUCAUUAUAUGAAAUUGCAGGAGGAGCUGCCAGUGUAAUCAAGUGGGUCCACAAUCAAAAUCCUAGCUGACACGCAAGGAGAUCCAGACUCAAUCCAAUCCCUUGCAGGAGCCAAAUCCAUCAUCAUGGAUCUUCCCAGGAGGACACCCUGACUUUGACCACCACAAGUUCAAACCAAGACUGCAGCAGCCACAGUAUUGCCACCAAGAAUAGUUGAUCUGCUGUGAAGCCAAGAUGCAUUAAUGGGUAAGUCCCAGCUGUUUUGAAACAGACCCAGAAUUUGAUGCUGGAUGACCUGUGGCUGAAAUCCAUGAAGUGAUCACUUGUACAGCCUUGCUUGACAUUAUGUACAUAAUUUACAGGUGUUAAAAAUCGCUUGGAAACUGUGCAGUUCCUGACUGUCCUUUAUCCUGUACAUUUUUGCCUCACACAGAAAAAUAAAUACUACAUUACA